AAGGAUCAUUACUGAGUGCGGGCUGCCUUCGGGCGCCCAACCUAUGCUCGUGAUAGGGUCCGUGAUGAUGCUUCGGCGGGGAGCCCUCUCGGGGGCGAGCCGCCGGGGAAUGCUCGUGAUGGAGCCUGAGAGUGAUGCAGUCUGAGUAUGCUCGCGCUAGUAGAUGUCGCUGUAGUCAAUGGAUCUCUUGGUUCCGGCAUCGAUGAAGAACGCAGCGAACUGCGAAUGCUCGCUGAAGGCCUCGUGAUAGAGUGAUCAUCGAGUCUUUGAACGCACAUUGCGAUGCUCGUGAAUCCGGGGGGCAUGCCUGUCCGAGCGUCAUUGCAUAUGCUCGUAGUAGUCUUGUGUGUUGGGAUGCUCUCCCCCCCGGGGGACGGGCCCGAAAGGCAGCGGCGGCACCGAUGCUCGCUGAUAGGCGUAUGGGAUGGCAUGCUCGCUGGGGUUUAGGGCCGGCCGGGCGCCAGCCGACGUCCAACCAUUUUUCUUCAGGUUGACCUCGGAUCAGGUAGGGAAUGCUCGCUCGUACAUAUCAAUAAGCGGAGGAUGCUCGUAGUAGUCGCAUGAU
rnacentral:rRNA from 1 species